GCCAUUUUUUCUCUGUGUCUGUUUCCUUCACACAUCACAAGCACAAUGGCAUCUGGAGUGCAAGUUGAAGACCACGUGAAGGACAUCAUCAAUGAAAUGACAGUGGUGAACAGCGAAAGAUCAGAAGAGUGUAGUGUAGGGAAUGAGUG